AGUUGCUUAUCAUGGAACUGCCGGGGGCUUGGGAACCCCGAGGCGGUUCGAGAGCUUUGCAUCAUUGUGAAGCUAGAAGGACCCACUCUUCUCUUCGUCAUGGAAACAAAAAUAAAAGGGAAGAGAGUUGAGGACUUGCAGAGACACCUAGGCUUCGGCGGGUGUUUUGCAGUGGAUUGUGUAGGCCUAAGUGGAGGUAUUGGUCUUUUUUGGACACAUGAUGUUAUUGUCGAGCUAAAGAAUUUUAGUUCAGGACAUAUUGAUGCAAUGGUUAAAUAUAAGGACCAAAAAUCUUUUGAGUGGAGGUUCACUGGUUUCUAUGGAGCGCCUCGAGCUGAAGAUCGACAUCACAGCUGGCGUUUUCUGCGUACUUUGUAUGCCAUGCCGCAUCCGGCGUGGAUUUGUUUGGGUGAUUUUAAUGAGACUCUACGCCAACGAACACUUCAGCCGGGCUGCUAG
rnacentral:rRNA from 1 species